GCUGUGUUGGCUGAGUGGUGAAAGUGUUGGACUUGAAAUCCAAUAGGGGUUUCCUGCACAUAUUCAAAUCCUGCUUGCAGCA
rnacentral:tRNA from 1 species